rnacentral:rRNA from 1 species
AACGAACGCUGGCGGCAUGCCUAACACAUGCAAGUCGAACGAGACCUUCGGGUCUUGUGGCGCCCGGGUUCGUAACGCGUGGGAACCUGCCCUUAGGUUCGGAAUAACUCUCCGACAGGGGUGCUAAUACCGGAUCAUGUCUUCGGACCAAAGAUUUAUCGCGUUUGGUUGGGCCCGCGUUGGAUUAGCUUGUUGGUAGGGUUAUAGCCUACCAAGGCGACGAUUCAUAGCUGGUUUGAGAGAAUGAUCAGCCACACUAAGACUGGGACACGGCCCAGAAUCUUACGGAAGGCGGGAGUGCGGGAUAUUGGACAGUGGGCGAAAGCAUGAAGCUGCUAGGCCGGGUAAGUGAUGAAGUCCGUAGGGAUGUAAAGCUCUUUUAACCGGGAUGAUAAUGACAGUACCGGAAGAAUAAGCCCCGGCUAACUCCGUG